UACGUAGGGGGCUAGCGUUGUCCGGAAUCAUUGGGCGUAAAGCGCGUGUAGGCGGCCCGGUAAGUCCGCUGUGAAAGUCGGGGGCUCAACCCUCGGAUGCCGGUGGAUACUGUCGGGCUCGAGUACGGAAGAGGCGAGUGGAAUUCCUGGUGUAGCGGUGAAAUGCGCAGAUAUCGGGAGGAACACCAGUAGCGAAGGCGGCUCGCUGGGCCAUUCCUGACGCUGAGACGCGAAAGCUAGGGGAGCGAACAGG
rnacentral:rRNA from 1 species